CCGCUACCAACAGGGUCCCUCUGUAUCUCAGGAACACAGCACCCACUGACACCUGACAUACUAGGAGCAGCACCCCACCCAGCGUCAUCUUCAGAGCCUCAGACGUGUCCCAGGACAAAACAACAAAGGUGGGAUCAAUGGUGGCCAAAACAUCCCCAGUUCACACGAGCAGCUUCAGGAGUCACUGGAGAGCGGGCAGCAGGAAUGCUCACAACAAUGACACACAGUGUUUUCAGAUGAUGGACUCUCAUGAAGUGCUCUCUUGCAGUGCCUCUCCUCGAACAGAAUGCAGUUUGUGGCAUGAAAGACAAACAACUCAUGCACACACACCACACAAACACACAUGCGCACGCACACACUUCCACACUACUUGAACCCUGGGGCAGAAUGCCAAAGAGCUGGAGGAAUGUGACCCGGUGACCUUGGCUUGCAGACUUCCACAUGGAGACCGGACACUAGGAUGGUGUGCAUCGGAAGAGGAGGCCAGAAUAGCUCCGGUGUCCAGUAACGGGAGACAGACUCUGUUUGUAAACUGUGGCCAUAUGACACACUGAGAGCCUGCAGCGCACAUGUAUGCGCACAGACCCACAGUGAGUGCAUGCAGUGGGGCUCCAAGUCAUGCAUCAAAGAUGGUGGAGAUAGCAGUGUACCACAGCUGCUGGAAAUAUAUGUCACACUUUUUGUAAACUACACAGGUAGGUAGAUUGUCAGAGCAUUGCAGUUGAAGCCUGUUGAUUUAGAAAGUGUCUCCAUCACAGAAUUCGUAAUAGUUUUACUGGUUACACAACCUGCACUUUAAACUUAAUGUAGUUUAUUUUAUUUUUGCCCAUUUACUUUGGGAAAAUUAGGAGACGCUGUGGUUUUUAAAACAGAGAAAAUGCUCAACUGUAUGGACAGACGUUCAGUGUUAAUCUUUUUUUUUACUCCUCUGCACAGACAGGCCAGGGGUAAACCCCACCCUCUGUGCUCGGAGAGAGGACAGAGAUACAAGUGACAGAUCAGGUCCAACCAGUCACAGAUGACAAACCUUCAGUGUUGCCCCACGAUUAUCUGACAAACAUUUGAGCCCUCUGCGAGAGUCUUUCUUUGAACAGGUUUGAUUUCUUCAUCAGGGAAUUAGCUUAUUUGAAUUUCCACAAAUUGUUUUGCAUAUUAGUUUCCCUGGCACAGAUGAUUGACUGUUAAAGGAAGCUAGUAGGAGGCUUUCUUUUAUUGUACUUUAUCGCUAAGAAUACUUAUGUUCAUAGCGUUAGCACAUAACCCUUAAAAUCCACUGUGGGUUCAUCUGAUUCCCCACUUACUCAUAAAGUACCUGACGACUCUGGCUCAGGAGACAGUCAGCUUUGAAGCCCGAGGAGGCGGUCUCCAGACUCGUGUGUAGUUUGUGUUUGUGCCCUAUCAGUCUUGCUGAGCACACAGGUGCAGAUCCUACCUGAGGCAGACGGUCUGGUGCCAGCGGGUUGUAAAGCAAUCAGACGGUGGUAAUAUAUCCCUCAGCCUAUCAAAUAGCUAACAGAGCAGGAAAGGAACAGCGUGUUGAUCCAGAAACAAACAGCACACAGCCUCCACCCCCCUCCCCAUCUGGCCCAGGAUGAUCUGUUUUGGUCUCCCUCCAUCACUGUCACUCCAGAAACAGACUCCCCGUGCCACAUUCAGACGCUGCAGCCGUCCUCCAUGGUGGGUAGAGUUACCAAUCACACACUCAGCACUGAAAGUGAGCAUCUAAUUUUGAACUUGAGUAUCGGAAAGGUUUUAUUUAAGACAAAGCUUUGUGGCCAGCAGCACAUAUUAGCAGCUGACACUGAACCUCAACAAAGGAAGACACUGUAUACUUGAUGCUACAGAGAGCAGAGAAACCCUGUAUGGCUUAUUGGAUUGAUUUCCAUCACAGGAGACUGCUGUAUGUCUGAUCCAUUUCUGUUCUCAUAAGUUUAGUGGAAGCAAAGCUGUGCCCGGCGCUAACCCCCACGCCAUCUAUUCAGGUCAACUAUUGAGAGAUGCCACUAUCACUAGGGCAACAAGUAAAACAAACAAUGCGUGGGUUUUGUAUGUGUAUGAAACACUAGACUCAGAUCAGUCAGCCACACAAAAUGUAGCUAGUGGGAACAGAAGGUCUGCGCCCAGUUCACCACGUCCUGCCUUUAUGAGACAGUGUGGGUGGUGGGAGUUUAAAAGCUGUCAGACUUUUUUUUUUCUUUUAUAAUCCAUGUUUACCACAACAGGGAGCUCUGUAAACACAUGGGUUUGCCACAACAUUAUUCCAACAAGCCGGCGUGCUUGUAUCCAGGGCACACCGAGGUCUUUCCAAUGAGGAGUUGAUUUGACUCCAAGAUGAGCUGGCUCCUAACUGUUUAACUUUUCCCAGGCUUUUGCUAACAUUGUGGCUCAGAACAAUGACGGGUGCAUCGUAACUUUGAGACUUCAGGUUCUCUUUCAUCUGGCCGGUCUUUUUGCACAGGUGUUUAAAAUCAAAUACCUCUGACCCUCCAAGUACCACAAGGUUCUUUUCCAGUUGUUCAUCUGUCUCUAGUUUCUGCAUCUGACCCAGCUGACUAAUACUAGAGCUGGUACUUGCUCUGAAUUUAAUAUAGUGGUGACAAAGACAACUUUGCCGCUGGGCUGUUGAGUAAUCAUCCCAUACACAGCGCGCACUCCAGGAAAGUUUUUAGAUUGUGUGUCACUGUGUGGCUUCCGUAGGCAGAGAGGAUUUCAACAUAUCCAAUCAGGAAACACCCUUAAGCCCUGGGAGAGCUGGCAAAAACAGAUUUAUGCACAACACAUGUGAGCCGUGCGCCGGUAAGAGUACACGCUAACUAUUCUAGAUGUCGUAAUCGCAGGCUCUUAUCUCAGUGUCCAUAGGAGGGAGGGUUUUAUCAGCUUGGGCUAUACAAGCUGGAGAAAAACAGAGUGUACACAAAGUGACCAGGGACAUAGUGACUUGAAAACAGGAAAGAGAGGCCAGGUGCUAAGACAAACAACAUUAGGUGACACAUAGGGUCAUAACCACUUGUGUUGAUAGCUAACUCAGGACAGGAACAGUAAAUACUCUUAGAAAGGAGAUUGUAGCACAGCUCAUUUUUCCCAAAGUGUUAUCUGAUGUCCAACUUUGGUGUGUGAAGGCACCCCAAUCGCCACAAUAAAUGUUGGCAUUGUGUGUUUCUGCAAACCAUGGAUAUGUAACAGACAUGUUGAAACAUUACAUUUUAAUAACACUGUGGUUAAAGAUACACUCUGCGGAAUUUUGUGUUUGUGAACCUGUACCCCCACAGCACCCAACUGAAGUCAGGGCUUUAUGAAAAGGUAGCAACCAGGUGCCAGACUUUAAGCAGCAAGCUUCUAAGAGACACAUCCCAGAAACAAUGCAAGUAUAGCAAGGCGAAACACCAAACAAGAGUGAAUCUAGGGUUGGUUUUUACUUCCACUUUCGCUGGUGUGUGUGUUCACAAACAAUUACCAAUAAUCCUGUAAAGUAAAUCUAAGAUAUAUAUAUUUUGUAGGGCCUUUUUGCCUUUAAUCGACAGGAUAGUUCUUCUUCAUGAAAGACGGGGAGAGAGAGAGAGAGAGAGGGGAUGUCAUGCACCAAAGGGCCGUGGGUUGGAAUCUAACCCCCAGCUGCUGCGGCAAGGACAAAGUCUUUGACAGUGGGGUGCCUGCUCUACCAGGUGAGCUAAUGGCCACCCCCGCAAAGUAUGACUUUAACAUGUGGUUAUGUUUAGGCAUGGACAUGACUUGGUUAUGGUUUGGAAAAGGUCAUUUUUUGGCUUAAAACACGCUUUUGGUGGCACAAUCACAGCUCAAAGUGCUGCCAAUGGCUCACCAAAAGACACCCAGUUUUUGUGGCACAGUCACUACUGAAAAUGCUGCCGAUAUCUCACUAAAAAACAAGCAGUUUUGCUAUUUGUUGCUCUCAAAGUGGUCUGCAGCUUGGCAGCUGGCUUGCCUAGAUGUCACGCUAUUCACCAUCCCCUGGGGCGGCUGUGGCUCAGAGGUAGAGGAGGUCGUCCACAAAUCAGAAGAUCAGUGGUUUAAUCUCCAGCUCUUCCAGCCAAGAUGUCGAAGUAUUCUUGGGCAAAAUAUUGAAUAGUGAAUAGUGGUUACUGGCCACUUGAGUGAAUAGACACCUGUGUAUGUGUGAAUGUGACGUAGCGUUGAAGAAGGAAGAAGGUAAGAAAAGCGCUAUACAAAUGCAGUCCAUUUACCUCCUGAUGACAAAGUCAGCUCAUACACAUGUAUUCAGAGCUAUGUUACUUUAGAAACAUUGAUAUAUGUCUGCCAUCUACAAAUGUAGAAACAUACAAUUACAGCAUUUUCUUCUAGCGACUGGGCUGAUGAAGGAAGGAAGGAGUGUGUCUCAUUUUCUCUGACCACCACACAGAAUUGAUUGACCCUGUUAUGCAACAUGAACAUAGCUGAUUCAAGAUGUCAGAAAAGGACAACGUGCCAAACAGUGUGUUGUCAACAGUGUUUAAAGUACUGUUCAACCACAAGUACAAAACAUACAGUUAUACAUACUUACACUCACAGGAUGUUUUUUCAAAUGUAGAAAAUGAAGUGAUCAUCAGACCAACAGAGUCACAAAGUGUUGCAGAGCCCAGUUAUUCACUGCUGAAGCAUGCUACACACCCUCACUGCAGUAGGAGUGACACACAUGACAACGUGCAUGACUACAACAAGCUCUGACAUUGUGUGCUCUCUGCAGGGUCGUAUGUCAUGAUUUAGAUGAUUGUGUGUCGACUCUAAUCAGUCGCCAGUCACCGUGGCUCCAGUCGUGAAAGCUGCUGUCAGUGAUUUGGACGCUCUGCUCCUUUCAGCUCCGGCUGAGGGGGCAGGCAGCACAUCCUGCCUGGAGAGGAGACCCAGAGUAAUGUCCCUGUCCCACAGCCGUGUGCCAACCAAACCGCAUGAGUCAAGCCUUCGUGGUAAGUGUGGGUGGCUUUCCUCCUGUGACUACUCCCUGACCCAUCUCUCUCAAACUCCCUCUCACUCUUCCUCUCUAACUCCAUCUUUUCCGUGUGAAUCAUCGAGCCGAUUUUUAGGUGAUGAAUGUUUAUCCCCGGAAAUACCUCUUGACUUCCUGACCAUGAUUUGAAUGAAGGUGUAAACAUCACCAAUACUACACUGGCUUUGGAACAACUUGACACUGUGUUUGCAGAGCUAUAGUCGAGUCACAUGAGAGAUCUGCAUUACGUCACGUGGACAUGUGCCUAUGCAAACACAAAGGCCAGAAGACAGCAGGGAGUGGUGUUUGUGCUCUUGUACAAGUAAGGUGCUCAGUGACGGCCAGCACGUCCAUCAGACUUAAGUCUCUCCCAUUAAAAAAUCCAUUCUUCUCCAGUGUGUCUGCUGUUGUUCUGAGUAACAGGCAACUGGGGACUAGGAAAACACAUCCAGGGUUGCAUCUGCUUCUUCUCACACAGAGUGCCAACAACAUGCUGACAUACUCCCAUGAAGUGCUGCCUGUGCUCUGAGCUCUGCUGUUCAUCUCGUGCUGACGUUAUUUAUCCCACUCUUACGCUUGAAAUGACUCAAGUGCAUGUGGACGUACUGUACGUACACGUGAACACUCCCGAGAUGCUUUAUCUACUUCCUAUUCACUCAGUUUCCCAGGGCAGGGGGAAAAGCCAGAGGAAGCAGAGCUGUUGUUGUCUCUCUCGGCUGGGUGCUUCCUGUCCUGAUAGAGGGCCGAGAAGAGAUAUCCCUGAAAGGAGCUGUUGGAACAGGGGAGGGAAGAGCUGGGUGUUUUGGACCCCUUUCAAUGACUUACAAUCUUAUCUAGCCUGAGUUUGGUAUGCAUCCACUAGUUAGAGCGGGGCACAGUUGAAGAGAAUGUGUUUGAGCCUCCCUGCUUCCCCUCUCCAUCACAUAUAGUAAACAGUUUGCAGAGCUGCAGAUAGCCCUUCAUCAGCAGACUCUG